ensembl:lncRNA
GAUUUCAUACUGCUCGUGGUACUUUCUUUCUCUGUGCUUGUCAUCCAGUUAGUCCUCAAGUGAAGCAAGCUAUGAUCAUAGCCCAUGCUUUACCUUUUUGGCUGAGCCUGUUGAAGAGAUCUGAAAGCUGUUGGAAAGAUAUCAUUGGAAGCUCAGGGAUUUUCCUCUGAAGUCAUUCUGAAUUAACUGCUAAUGGGGAGCCUUCUUUGAUAGCUCUUUUAUAAUUAAAUGCAGCUGGAUGAAAAAUCAACCACAAAGGGAACUCAAGUUUGUUUAUCAUUACUCCUGAUUUUGCAAGCAGAUGUUUCGGCCAAUAGCUAUUUGGCUUCUCCUAGCCACAUGAAUUUGACCCAACUCCGGGAGGCAGUGGAAGACAGGUGGGCUGGCGUGCUCUGACCCAUGGGGUCACAAACCAAACAGCAACAACUAAACAGCAACAA